rnacentral:rRNA from 1 species
UACGAAGGUUGCAAGCGUUACUCGGAAUUACUAGGCGUAAAGGGCAGGUAGGUGGUUUGGUAAGUCUAUUGUGAAAGCUCCCGGCUCAACUGGGAGAGGCCAAUAGAUACUACCAGGCUUGAGUAUAGGAGAGGUUACUGGAAUUCCCGGAGUAGCGGUGAAAUGCGCAGAUAUCGGGAGGAACACCAAUGGCGAAAGCAGGUAACUGGACUAUUACUGACACUCAACUGCGAAAGCUAGGGGAGCAAACAGG